rnacentral:rRNA from 1 species
UUGCUUCUAUCAAUCUUAGUGGCGAACGGGUGAGUAACGCGUAAUCAACCUGCCCUUCAGAGGGGGACAACAGUUGGAAACGACUGCUAAUACCGCAUACGAUCUAAUCUCGGCAUCGAGGAUAGAUGAAAGGUGGCCUCUACAUGUAAGCUAUCACUGAAGGAGGGGAUUGCGUCUGAUUAGCUAGUUGGAGGGGUAACGGCCCACCAAGGCGAUGAUCAGUAGCCGGUCUGAGAGGAUGAACGGCCACAUUGGGACUGAGACACGGCCCAGACUCCUACGGGAGGCAGCAGUGGGGAAUCUUCCGCAAUGGACGAAAGUCUGACGGAGCAACGCCGCGUGAGUGAUGACGGCCUUCGGGUUGUAAAGCUCUGUUAAUCGGGACGAAAGGCCUUCUUGCGAAUAGUGAGAAGGAUUGACGGUACCGGAAUAGAAAGCCACGGCUAACUACGUGCCAGCAGCCGCGGUAAUACGUAGGUGGCAAGCGUUGUCCGGAAUUAUUGGGCGUAAAGCGCGCGCAGGCGGAUCAGUCAGUCUGUCUUAAAAGUUCGGGGCUUAACCCCGUGAUGGGAUGGAAACUGCUGAUCUAGAGUAUCGGAGAGGAAAGUGGAAUUCCUAGUGUAGCGGUGAAAUGCGUAGAUAUUAGGAAGAACACCAGUGGCGAAGGCGACUUUCUGGACGAAAACUGA